GUUGCCCCUUGUCAUCUUCUUAGAACUUAUAUUUGCCUAAGUGUGGUUUUUCUAUACUCAAUUUCUCUUGUGUUCCCGCUCAAACUAAAAUUUUAUCUUAAUUUCUAAUUUGUUAACUAGAUUGCAUAAAAUCAGGAAGUUCCCAAACUUUGAGCCGAAUUUAUGAAAUUGAUAACGCCUCAUAUUCUCUUCUUCUAUGAAGAUUUAUCCACCGUCUCCCUUAUAAAUCUGCCGAUGCUCUCUAAAACCCUAAGACCUCAAACCAUACCUUUGAUUCAAAAGUUCAUAUCUUAGAAAUCGACCCUUCCGAUGACACUCUUUAUAUUGAGGUUAAAGAUUUACUGUUUUAGAUUACAAACUUCUCUCUUAUUCGUAGAUUUUUUUUCCCAGUAAAGACUAAUUAAUAAUGUCAAAUUCACUUUACCGAGAAAUCGAGAUCUGGACAUUCAAGGAUUUCUUUUAUGAAGACGUAGAGUGAGGGGCGUAAAAGAAAAGGAGGGUGGUUUUUCUAGAUUUGCAUCUUGGUCAAAAUUUUCUUUAUGUUCAGGUGAUUAGGCACAGUAGAGGAAUUGGGCGCAUUGGUACUAUUGACCAUGGCUUUUUGCAGUUCAGGAGUAUUCUCAAUUUUGAUUUUCAGGUUCAUCUACAAUAUCUCAGUAAGCUUUUUUAGUUUUGUUUCUUUUUCGAAAAAGAACUCACUACUGACCCUCUACUUUUGAUGUGUUUCUUUCUUUUUAUCAACAUGAGAAUCGGAAAGACUAAAGAGUGGAUGUUUUGGUUUGGUAAUAUUUCCAUGGAUUUAUCAAUAUCAUGUUCUAUUUAACAUUUUAUCUUUUUAUUUUUCAAGUUAUUUUUCAAUCACCUUGCAUUUGUUUUAUUAUGUGAGAAGAUUCUUCUUCUUUUUUUUUUUUUUUUUUGAUAUGAUGGAUUUAAUGGAGAUCUGGUGCGCUAUGCAUAUCUAUUAAGACAAUUCAAAAGAUCAAAUUUGUGUGCAAGAAAUUUUUAUACUGAACUGCAAAUCUAAUAAAUUUAUAUGCAUUCUUGAUUUAUUCAUAUUGGUCACUCUACUGUAAUACAUGGUCUUUCCUCUAUCUUGAUUCCCAUUUAACCUCUUUACAUCUUAUAAAUUAAAAGUGUUAAUAUGCUUAAUUGGAUUAUAUACUUGAAUCUCUUCACUGGAACAUAUAAUUACAUCUCAUGUGUAGGUGAUCUUUACAUUUGAUUUAUUAGAAUUUUUCUUUAUCAGUAUUGAAUGUCAAAUUAAGAUUGUUUUCAUUUUUUAUUCAUGCUUAUUUGUUUGUUCAGUUCUUAUUCAUAUAAGUUUGAUUGUUUUUAUGAGCAUUGGUAAUUUUUUUAUUUGUUUCUUGAAAAAUAUAUUGCUAAAGAGAGUUGUAAGGUACUAAGAUUAUCAGUUAUGGGUGAAGGUUUUUAAAGAUUGGUUGUGUGGUCGAUUAUGUAAUUCCAUUUUGAAAUGGAAAUUGCAUUUAUAGCUGCUCCUUUUUUUGGUCAAUUUCAUGUACCAACUGCCCAUCUCUCUGAGAUUUUAAUGGAACUCUUAAUUUUGUAUAAGACAGUCAAUUGUUUUGUAGCAAAAUAUGUAGAUUUGGUCCCACCUUUACAUCUACAAUUACAUUUGUUCUUCCUUUGAUCUUAUCUAUUUUAUAUUUUGUGCACACUAUGUGUUUGAUUAAAUGCUUAACCAAAACUAUAUAGUAAUAUAAUCCGUAAGUUACUGUCUUUUGUUGUUUAAGUGUAAGAUGGACCAAAGUGAAGACAUCCUACAAUGAACACAAGGUUUCUUGAGUUGUCCAUGCAUGCUAGAUUCUCAUUUAAAUAUAUAACUGUAUUUAGGGUGAGAUCACUUAAAGAUGUAAACAUAAUAUUUAACACGAUAUGCUUGCUUAAUGGAAUUGUUGAAUUAAUGGAAUGGCUAAUUCAAUUGGAAUGAAAGUAGUAGAAAAACGAAGGAAAGCUCAUUGAUAUUUAUUUCAUUUAUCCCAUGAUUAGGCUAAGUGC